GGGUGUUGUGGGUAACAUAGUAUUGGUGGAAAAUUGAUCUUCGCGUAUUGUAUGCAGGUAUUGCCGUUUGCAGUUUUGUUCGUGGACCCGUUUGCCAAAGAAUAUUGCACGUAUUUGUAGAAAGGUUUUUCGUGUUUACUCAAAUACGUACAUAAGAAUACCGUGUUUUGUUGACCGUUUGCGAUAUAGCGGUGAAAGUGUUUUUUUUCCAUAUGUACAUAUUUACACAUAAGAUAUAUAUACACAUAUGACGUGUAACAAUUUUCCAGACAACGGAAGAAUCACCUCGUAGAAAUUUAAAAUCAAUCGACAUUU